ACUGAGACCGGCGUACGGGUGCGUAACGCGUAUACAAUCUGCCUUUCACUGGGGGAUAGCCCGAAGAAAUUUGGAUUAAUACCCCAUAGUAUAGUAGUGUGGCAUCACACAACUAUUAAAGCCUUGGUGGUGAAAGAUGAGUAUGCGUUCUAUUAGCUAGUUGGAGAGGUAACGGCUCCCCAAGGCUAUGAUAGAUAGGGGUUCUGAGAGGGAUGUCCCCCACACUGGUACUGAGAUACGGACCAGACUCC
rnacentral:rRNA from 1 species